AUUGAAAGGGAAACGAUUGAAGUCAGUCGUACCUACGAGUAAUCAACCUACACGAGCGCGAUUUUGUGGGUAUGAAGAGGUAAAAACCUUCAUGCUUGCUAAUUGGUGUUCUUUGGGCGUACUUUCUCGUAUGGUAGGUUAACAUCAAUUUCGAUCGUUAUAAAAUGACGGGAGGAAUGUAGCUUCGACUUCGGUUGAAGUGUUAUAGCCUCUGGUAGAUGUAAUGAUUGGGAUUGAGGAUUGCAACGAAUACCCUCUGGGCUAUUCGUCUGAUCUCUGGAAGUUACCUUGGUGUCGAAAGCGUGCUUAUGACAUUAAGAUUGACGGCCAAAAGGUUAGAACGGAAUUAAAUUCGUUAAGGAUGUUGACGUAAAUCACUAGGCCCCCCAAAAAAUAA
rnacentral:rRNA from 1 species